AUUAUUUUGGCAGAGAAUAUGCGUUAGAUUUAGGAUCUAAUAAUAUAGGAAUACUAUAAAUAAUA
rnacentral:tRNA from 1 species